rnacentral:misc_RNA from 1 species
GUGGGCUGUACCAGAAGUAGGUAGUCUAACCUUCGGGAGGACGCUUACCACGGUGUGGUUCAUGACUGGGGUGAAGUCGUAACAAGGUAGCCCUAGGGGAACCUGGGGCUGGAUCACCUCCUUUAAAGAAACCGGAAGAGAGAUCGUGAAAGCGCCCGCACAAUUUGCCCCAUCAUCGAACAUUCACCGCGGGUCUGUAGCUCAGUUGGUUAGAGCGCACCCCUGAUAAGGGUGAGGUCGGAAGUUCAAAUCUUCCCAGACCCACCACCUUCGCGCCCGUAGGAGCAACGAGGGAACAAGGGGCCAUAGCUCAGAUGGGAGAGCACCUGCUUUGCAAGCAGGGGGUCGGCGGUUCGAUCCCGCCUGGCUCCACCAGGUGGUAAACGGCGGCGGCAAUUUAACGCCGCCGUUUAUCCCCUGGCUCAGACGCCAAGGGACGUUCUUUUACAAUUUAGGUAGUGAUAUACGACGGUAAAGUCGGGACAUAUUUUGACGUCCGGACUUUGCUGGGUAUGCCAGCAUUUAUUAUGGUAGUUAUGACCUCGUUAAGAGCAA